CUCUUCGGGGAUGAUUAAACCGGCGCACGGGUGAGUAACACGUGAGUGACCUGCCUUUUAGACUGGAACAACUUACCGAAAGGUGAGCUAAUGCCGGAUGAGUUAUAUAAGUGCAUGUUUAUAUAGGAAAAGUUGGGGAGACCUGACGCUGAAAGAUGGACUCGCGUCCCAUUAGCUAGUUGGUAGGGUAAUGGCCUACCAAGGCGACGAUGGGUAGCCGGCCUGAGAGGGUGGCCGGCCACACUGGGACUGAGACACGGCCCAGACUCCUACGGGAGGCAGCAGUGGGGAAUUUUGCGCAAUGCUCGUAAGAGUGACGCAGCGACGCCGCGUGAAUGACGAAGGCCUUCGGGUCGUAAAGUUCUUUCGACAGGGAAGAAAAUGCCUAUAAGUAACUGUGUAUGUAUUGACGGUACCUGUAUAAGCAGCCCCGGCUAACUCCGUGCCAGCAGCCGCGGUAAUACGGAGGGGGCGAGCGUUGUUCGGAGUGACUGGGCGUAAAGAGCACGUAGGCGGUGUUGUAAGUCAUUAGUCAAAGACUAGAGCUCAACUUUAGUAAGGCUAGUGAUACUAUAAUACUAGAGUAUCAGAGAGGAUUGCAGAAUUCCUGGUGUAGCGGUGAAAUGCGUAGAUAUCAGGAGGAAUACCGUUAGCGAAGGCGGCAAUCUGGCUGGAAACUGACGCUGAGGUGCGAAAGCGUGGGUAGCAAACAGGAUUAGAUACCCUGGUAGUCCACGCUGUNAACGAUGGAUGCU
rnacentral:rRNA from 1 species